GAAAGAGGGACAUCUAGCUCACUUCCCCUCCACAGACCCAAAUCAUGAAUUAUCCAAAACCGCCAUCACCACCUCGCUAUUUGCCAUAUCACCACCUCCUCUCAUUAGCCCAAAUCCUCCCUUCUUAAACCACCGCCAAACGCCAUCCAACCAUGCUAUUAAACUUCUCUUCUUCUCUUUUAUCUCCUUCCUCUUCUUUUCUUAGAUUUUCCAGCGCUAAAUCACCCAUUAUAGAUUCUUCUUCUUCUUAUUUAAGACCAAAAAACCAAUUAUCUGACUCUCCUUUAUCACACCUCCGUCUUUAUUGCAAGAAUCAACUUUUCAGUAAAUUCGCACUUGGUGGCAAAAGGCUUGAUUUCAGGUCAUGGGCUGUUUCUGGAUUUGAUUUUGGUAGCUUUGAAUCUGUUUUAGAGGCAGCUGGAAUUUUAACAGCUAUAAUUAUUGUCCAUGAGAGCGGUCACUUCCUUGCUGCUUAUCUACAGGGUAUCCAUGUAAGUAAAUUUGCUGUUGGGUUUGGUCCAAUUUUAGCUAAGUUCAAUGCAAAAAAUGUAGAGUACUCUGUUAGAGCAUUUCCUUUGGGAGGGUUUGUGGCUUUUCCUGAUAAUGAUCCUGAGAGUGAUAUUUCAGCAGACGAUGAGAAUUUGCUCAAGAAUAGGCCAAUAUUGGAUAGGGUGAUAGUAAUAUCAGCUGGUGUCAUUGCAAAUAUUAUAUUUGCAUACGUCAUAAUCUUUGUUCAAGUAUUAUCUGUUGGUUUACCAGUGCAAGAGGCCUUUCCUGGUGUGCUUGUGCCUGAGGUACGAGUCUAUUCGGCAGCUUCCCGAGAUGGUUUGCUUCCUGGAGAUGUAAUUCUUGCUAUUAAUGGUACUGAAUUGCCCAAAACGGGGCCAAAUGCAAUCUCUGAGGUUGUUGAUGUCAUUAAGAGAAAUCCCAAAAGAAAUGUGUUGCUUAAGGUAGGCAGGGGAGUGCAGGAUUUUGAAAUUGGGGUAACCCCAGAUGAGAAUUUUGAUGGAACUGGUAAAAUUGGAGUUCAAUUAUCACCAAAUGUAAAGAUUACAAAGGUUAUAGCAAAGAAUGUGUUGGAGGCAUUUAAUUUUGCUGGUGAAGAAUUUUGGGGUCUGUCAUCAAACGUUUUGGAUAGCUUAAAACAAACUUUUUUAAACUUUUCACAAUCAGCUAGUAAGGUUUCUGGUCCAGUUGCUAUUAUUGCUGUUGGGGCAGAAGUUGCAAGGUCAAACAUUGAUGGACUUUACCAAUUUGCCGCUGUACUCAAUAUUAACCUUGCAUUGAUAAAUCUUUUGCCUUUGCCUGCUUUAGAUGGAGGCUCUUUAGCAUUGAUUCUUAUAGAGGCAGCCAGGGGUGGGAGAAAGCUUCCUUUAGAAAUAGAGCAGCGAAUUAUGUCAUCAGGGAUCAUGCUUGUUAUAUUGCUUGGGUUGUUCCUUAUCGUUCGGGAUACGCUAAACCUUGACUUCAUUAAAGAUAUGUUGUGAUUACUUGCAAGGGUGUUGAAGUUCAAAAAUGUGUACACUGAUAUGAAGCCAUUUUCUCAGCUGCUUGGUUGCUGAUGAUGCCUGGCAAUGGUGAUGCUCAACAUGUUUGGUUCUUUUCUCCCUCCGAAUGAGUUAUAGAGGAGGUACUUAUGGCUUCUUGUUCGCAAUUGGUUGCAUCUUCUGUGAAUCACUUUUAUAAUCCUUUUAGUUAUAAUUUCUUAAAUGAUAAUGACAAUCUUAAAUUGGGUUGUAAAAUUCCAAUGCUCAAAAUCUAUGAAGAUAUCUAUAACAGUUACAUUCUUUUGAAAUUGAUCCUUGCCAAACUCAUCUUUGCUGAUGAUGUCCAUGAUGGAUUUAGAACAAAUAGUCUACAACAGCUGUAUUAAGCUUACCACCUUCUUCUUUGGUUUUGCAUGUUAGACU
rnacentral:misc_RNA from 1 species